GAUGAACGCUGGCGGCGUGCCUAAUACAUGCAAGUCGAGCGAACAGACGAGGAGCUUGCUCCUCUGACGUUAGCGGCGGACGGGUGAGUAACACGUGGAUAACCUACCUAUAAGACUGGGAUAACUUCGGGAAACCGGAGCUAAUACCGGAUAAUAUAUUGAACCGCAUGGUUCAAUAGUGAAAGACGGUUAUGCUGUCACUUAUAGAUGGAUCCGCGCCGCAUUAGCUAGUUGGUAAGGUAACGGCUUACCAAGGCAACGAUGCGUAGCCGGCCUGAGAGGGGUAUCCGCCACGCGAGAGCUAAGACACAGUCCAGACUCCUGCGGGAGGCAGCAGUAGGGAAGCUGGCACAAUGGGCGAAAGUCUGACGGAGCAACGCCGCGUGAGUGAUGAAGGUCUUCGGAGCGUAAAACUCUGUUAUUAGGGAAGAACAAAUGUGUAAGUAACUAUGCACGUCGUGACGGUACCUAAUCAGAAAGCCACGGCUAACUACGUG
rnacentral:rRNA from 1 species